AGUGAACGCUGGCGGUAGGCCUAACACAUGCCAGUCGAACGGCAGCACAGUAAGAGCUUGCUCUUACGGGUGGCGAGUGGCGGACGGGUGAGGAAUACAUCGGAAUCUACUUUUUCGUGGGGGAUAACGUAGGGAAACUUACGCUAAUACCGCAUACGACCUACGGGUGAAAGCAGGGGAUCUUCGGACCUUGCGCGAUUGAAUGAGCCGAUGUCGGAUUAGCUAGUUGGCGGGGUAAAGGCCCACCAAGGCGACGAUCCGUAGCUGGUCUGAGAGGAUGAUCAGCCACACUGAAGCUGAGAGACGGGCCAGACACCGACGGGAGGCAGAAGUGGGGAAUAGUGGAAAAAGGGGGCAAGCCUGAACCAGCCAUACCGCGGGGGUGAAGAAGGCCUGCGGGUUGUAAAGCCCUUUUGUUGGGAAAGAAAAGCAGCAGGUUAAACCCCGCUGUUCUGACGGUACCCAAAGAAUAAGCACCGGCUAACUUCGUG
rnacentral:rRNA from 1 species